rnacentral:sRNA from 1 species
GGCAUCCGGGCCCGCUACUCGCCCACUGGGAGCGCCGUGGCGCCUGGUGUUCGGCGCGAGCCCGGCGGGGCUGCAGGUUCCGCCCUGCUCCGCUUCGCCCCGCCCGGGCUGGGGUAAAGGCCGCGGCCGGGCCAUGCAGUGUCCUCCUCAGGGAGGGCAGGAGAGCCUGAGGAGUGGCGGGGCCGCCAGAGAGCGAAAUGUCAUCAGUGCAGUCACAACAGGAGCAGUUGUCCCAGUCAGAUCCAUCUCCGUCACCAAACUCAUGUAGUUCCUUUGAGCUAAUAGACAUGGAUGCUGGCAGCUUGUAUGAACCAGUUUCUCCCCAUUGGUUUUAUUGUAAGAUAAUAGAUUCUAAGGAGACAUGGAUUCCUUUCAACUCUGAGGAUUCACAGCAGCUGGAAGAGGCGUAUAGCUCUGGAAAAGAUUGUAAUGGGAGAGUUGUUCCUACUGAUGGGGGCAGAUAUGAUGUUCAUUUGGGGGAGAGGAUGCGGUAUGCUGUAUACUGGGAUGAACUAGCAUCGGAAGUGAGACGAUGUACGUGGUUUUACAAGGGGGACAAAGACAAUAAGUAUGUUCCCUACUCGGAGAGCUUCAGCCAAGUUUUAGAGGAAACUUACAUGCUUGCUGUAACUUUGGAUGAAUGGAAAAAGAAACUGGAAUCUCCCAACAGAGAAAUUAUUAUUUUACACAAUCCAAAGCUUAUGGUGCAUUACCAGCCAGUUGCAGGGUCUGAUGAUUGGGGUUCAACACCCACAGAGCAGGGUCGACCAAGAACUGUGAAGAGAGGAGUUGAGAACAUCUCUGUUGACAUUCAUUGUGGUAAUGUUAAUCAUUUAUUUUUCUUACCUUCUGAUGUAUUUGUUUACUCCUUAAAUUGUGACCUUUUUCUGUGGAUUUAGAUUACCUCAAGGCUUAAAAAUCAUCUUUAAUCAUAUGGGUUUAUUCCAAGUUGAGAUUAGCAUCACUUUGUCUACUAAGAAUCUUAAUAGAUAUAAAAAUAUCUUUUAAAACAUAUGGUAGAAUGGGUAAAAUUUGGCAAUACUGUCCAGGAAGUCACUAAGUACAGAUGAACUGAUUUAGUCCUAAUUCCAAGAAGUGUGAUUCCACCUACUUGACUAGAAAUUUAUUCCUGGUAAUAACUCCUUGUCCUUGAAGAUUUUCAACUAAGGAAACCUAUUUUUCAGUAGGACCUGAUUAUGCACUGCUAUCUAGGUAGGGUCACUUACGGUUUUAUAAUAUAUUUAAUUGGAUUAUAAUAUUCCUUUUUUCUUGUCUCUUGGACAAAAUCGUAGCUUUACUGUAAUUUAAAAAGAUGAGUUUAAAAUUUCAGGCUUUGAAAACAUACCAGACAUUGAUAAAAAUGAAAUAUUAGAUAAAAGUAUUUUAUCAGUGUUCAGUUGCCUGGAUUCAAUAACUGUAUUAUGGUUAUGUAAGAUAAUAUACUUAGGAAAUAUACAUUAUGGUAUUAAAGGGUUAAAGAGGUAUGGUGCAUGCAACCUGAUGAUGUAUGUAGCCUGCUUUCUAAUGAUUCAGAAAAAUAAAUGUGUGUAUGUGUACACACACAGAGAAUCAUAAAGCAAAUGAAAUUGUUAAAAAGUUGAAUCUCUGUAAAAAGUAUGUGGGAGUGUCUGUACUAUGCUUUCUAGUUUUCUGUACAUUUC